CUGUUGUAACAAAGCUCAAGUUCACAUAGUCGUAGUGAGAUAUUCGCGACAUAUUGCUAAAUGCCCCAUUUCUCCAGCGUCCACUCAUCCAAUACACACGUCCCUCCCACCAUAUUGUCAAUUGGUCUGUUAAGUCUAUACCAAUCGUAAAAGACCCCGAGGCUGGUUCAUCUUCACUUCUCCAAGAAGUCAGUGACCAGUUUUCUCCGGUUAUACGAUUUCUACCAAUUUUCAUCCCAGGUAAAAGUGUAUCAGUAGGAUGCUCAAAACUUUGCCACAAAGUUUUGCUCACAGAACCAUUGUUUUCCAACUCCACCAGCACAAAAUUACCGUUGUCGGAUAGUGUGGCACUUGUAUUUCUUGCUGUUGCAUUAUUUGAACUUAACACAACAGAUCUAUUAUUUCCAUAGAUAAUUUUCAGCUUUCCCUCAUCAUCCAAUGUGAGAUUAUUACCUGAUGCAUAUGGGAUUGGAUUGUCGCGAUUCGCAACCCAAACGGGGCGAGAAUCAUCAGAGAAUAAUGUCAUGUUAGAAGGUAAGUUGUAGAAUAUGCCUAUGUAGUGAGUUCUAUUAGCAUCAGGGCUAAAAAACUCCAACCUGAAUUCCUUGUUUGUUGAUUCCAAUUUCUCUCCAACUCUAAGAUUUUGUCCCUGAAAUAUUGUUUCUGUUUGGGAAUAAGAAAUGUUUAUGAAAAAGCAACACCAACACCAAAAUAGUAGGAUUCGUAGCCAUGCCAUUAAACCUCUGCCUCUACCUUUGGCUCAACCUCGGCCCCGGCCUCUACCCCUGGUAGUGGCUGGCUGCAGCCUGAGGCUCCGACUUCUGAUCAGCUACUAAUCAAGUGAUCAAGAGAAGUUCUUCGUCCUCCCAAUUGGAAGUUUUUUCAUGGAAGUUUCAACCUUGUUUACUAUGACAACAGUCGCAACUAUAAACAGACUUAUGACUAUGGCAGAACGUACCGAACAUUCUGGGAGAUCAAAAACAUGCGAAGUUUUUUCAUGAAAGUUUCAACUAUGACAACACUCGCAACUAUAAACAGACUCGUGACUAUGGCAGAACGUAUCAAACAUUCUCGGAGAUCAAAAACAUGAGAGGAGGUUGAGGGGGAUUAACCAAAUUGAUAUUGUGAGGAGACUAAUAAGUUCUUUAACAGGAAAGGAAAGGUCAAUCCAUAUUAUUAAAUGUUUGAAAAUUGACUUGGUCAAAAUAUGAAAGCAGAACAUUCUAACUCAAUUUUU
rnacentral:lncRNA from 1 species